AGCGAGGUGGAGCAAAACUUCAAAAAUAGGUCUCAGUUCGGACUGUAGGCUGCAACUCGCCUACACGAAGUUGGAAUUGCUAGUAAUCGUGGAUCAGCAUGCCACGGUGAAUACGUUCCCGGGUCUUGUACACACCGCCCGUCACACCAUGGGAGCUGGUAACACCCGAAGUCAGUAGUCUAACCGCAAGGAGGACGCUGCCGAAGGUGGGAUUAGCGAUUGGGGUGAAGUCGUAACAAGGUAGC
rnacentral:rRNA from 1 species